UACGGGGGGGGCAAGCGUUGUUCGGAAUUACUGGGCGUAAAGGGCUCGUAGGUGGCCAACUAAGUCAGACGUGAAAUCCCUCAGCUUAACUGGGGAACUGCGUCUGAUACUGGAUGGCUUGAGUUUGGGAGAGGGAUGCGGAAUUCCAGGUGUAGCGGUGAAAUUCGUAGAUAUCGGGAGGAACACCGGUGGCGAAGGCGGCGACCUGGGUCGAUACUGACGCUGAGGUGCGAAAGCGUGGGGAGCAAACAGG
rnacentral:rRNA from 1 species